GACCUUCGGGAGCUUGCACAGGUGCUGCAUGGCUGUCGUCAGCUCGUGUCGUGAGAUGUUCGGUUAAGUCCGCUAACGAGCGCAACCCUCGCUGUGUGUUAUAUGUGUCACACGGGACUGCCGGUCUUAAGCCGGAGGAAGGUGGGGAUGAUGUCAAGUCAGCAUGGCCUUUAUAUCCUGGGCUACACACACGCUACAAUGGCCAACACAAUAGGUUGCUAAGCCGCGAGGUGGCGCCAAUCCAUAAAGUUGGUCUCAGUUCAGAUUGUAGGCUGCAACCCGCCUGCAUGAAGAUGGAGUUGCUAGUAACCGCAGGUCAGCUAUACUGCGGUGAAUACGUUCCCGGGCUU
rnacentral:rRNA from 1 species